AUACUCUGGUUUCUCUUUAGAAUGAUUAAAUAUUUUGCAUUUUAUUAAAGAUUUUUGUGGAGGGGAACAACCAUGAAUUUUUGGUGAAUUUUUUGAUACCUGGCUAAUGCCGGGCC